rnacentral:rRNA from 1 species
UACGGAGGGUGCAAGCGUUAUCCGGAUUCACUGGGUUAAAGGGUGCGUAGGUGGGUUGAUAAGUCAGUGGUGAAAUCCCCGAGCUUAACUUGGGAACUGCCAUUGAUACUAUUGAUCUUGAAUACCGUGGAGGUCAGCGGAAUAUGUCAGUGUAGCGGUGAAAUGCUUAGAUAAUGACAUAGAACACCAAUUGCGAAGGCAGCUGGCUACGCGAAUAUUGACACUGAUGCACGAAAGCGUGGGGAUCAAACAGGAGUUAG